UUAAUUCAAAUCUUGCGUUAAUUUUGGGACACCCUUUACAUAGAAAAUUUCCAAGCGAAAAAAGAAAAAGAAAGUUGGAGAGACUCGAAACGUGUUAGAACUGCGUCGAAGAACGUGGAAGGACCGUUUCUCGUUCGGCGAAAAAAUCGAUCGAAGCGUCGGGGGAAAAUGGAGGAUCGAAUAAUUGGCGUUCGCGGCGAUGGCCGAAAUUGACAAAUAACGGCGUAUAAAACCGUAUCGUCUCGUACGUCAAGGGAUCGGAUUUUAUUAAGCGCGGCUUACCUUCUUUUUAAUUCGGUCGCGCCAAUUAUUAACCGAUAUCCCUUCUCCUCCUCCCUCUCCCCUGCUAUUAUUUCUCUCGUAUACACCUAAGCUCCAUCUCUACUCUAUUUUCCAGUUAUUCAAGGCGGAGGGAGGGCAAGGGGGGGAGGGGAAAGACAAUGUAGCGGGUAAAGUAUCGGAUAAUUAAAAUUUAUCGCUCUUCUUAUACAACGUAACGCGUAACGCGUCCCCUUUAAUUUUGCCGUCGUAAUAUCGGGGGCAAACUGGGCAAACAACAACAACAAAACGAUAAACCUCGAAAGCCUUUUUGAUAUCGGGGAAAAGUUCGGUUUAAAGAAGAAAGAAGAAAAAAAAGAAAAAAGAAAGAAAGAUUCGAUUUCGAUAAUUCAAUCUCUUAAUUAAACACACGCGGUUUUAAAUCCAUGAAACGAAACGAUCAUCGAGCCCGCGAGUAGAUUCGAGGCUUCGUGGAUUAGGUUUUAAUUAAGGGAAAGUGUAGGAUGCGGUUAAGAGGCGACGUUAAGAGACAGAGAGAAAGAGAAAAAAUAUCGAACGACUCGAAUCUUCUCUCCCCCCCCCCUCGAAUCCUCGCGAGGAGUGGAAGAAUUUUUCCACAAACAUUCGUGACAAUUUCAAUUAGCCGCUAAACCCUUGUGUCGCCUAUUCAAACGUUUGCCCGCUUUAAUUAGUUCGGAUUAUCAAAGUUACCGUGUUCCGCUCGGCUCCGAUUCGGGCUAGGUCUCGCGACAGGUAGCCCGUUAACCCAGAAACCACGCGCUUUCCUCCCCCUCCCCUCCCCCCUCCCGCCUAAAUCCGAUCGAGUCGGUCGGGUUCAUUCCCCGAAUGGCGCGGCCCAACAAUUUCGAAAAAUUCCCUCUCGAGAUUCUCUCUCUCUCUCUCUCCCCUCUUCUCUUCUCAGAAGGGAGGAGGGACGGUGAACGGUAUAAUGCGGGGGUGUCGCUAAUCGCUAAAGUGCUUCGCUUCCAAUCCGACCUGUCCUUUCUUCCCAGGAUAAAGCUCCGACCGGUGCGACACCAUUUCGCUUUUACAACGAAAAGUCGCCUAGUCCAGAAGGAAAGGGAGGGGGAAAGAAGAGAAGGAAGGAGAGGAGGAGGAGGAGGAGGAGGAGGAGGAAGUUGGUCUCGUGAAUCUCUCCGGUCGACAAACGACGUAUCGACGCGGAGAGAAAGAAAAACAAGGGAAGGGAAGAGGGAAGAGAGGAGAAGGCUCGAUGGAUCUCUCUCUCUCUUUCUCUCUCUCUCUUUUUUUCUUCUUCGGUCGGCGAGAAAUGGCGACCGAUUUCGAGGUGGAACGAGGUGUGGCGCGGCGUCAUUUGGUAAUGGAGUUAAUAUUUUAGCGGUGAAACAGUCUGGUAGGAGAAGGAGGAGGAGGAGGAGGAGGCAAUGUUCACGGGGAGGCGCUUCCUCGAGCCUCGGGGGGGAAAUGACUGAGAGAGGAGGCGAGGCGGGAGGUCGCGGCGAGAACAACACUCGCGUACAUUUUACGUCUGUUUUCCGUGACAAACGUUUCGCGGAAUACCUCGACGCCCGGCAGAACGAGCCGCGAGAAAAACAAACUGCCUUCUUCCAACCGCCUAUUCUCCUCUAUAUAUAUACGUGUGUAUACGUACCAUCUUCUCCCACCCUUUCCCCCAGAAGUCGAGAGGUGGGAAACGGGACAACUGUUCGCGAAUCCGGACGCGUGGCACGUACGUAGAGAGACACGCAAACACUCUCUCUUGUUUCUUCGCCGCGACGACACGCGUCUGUUAUGGUUGUUCCUCGCAACUUCGACGACCAUUUCUGCGAUUUUCGAUCGAAUCGAUUCUAGUCGGAAAUAUAUUAUAGUAUAAAAGUUAUAGAUUAAUAUUAUUAUCAACAUUAAACGCUUCGUAUCGAGAGAAAUUUGGGACGAAAGGAAAUUGCGGAAAAUGUAGGGAAAAGGGAGAGGAAGAGGGUCCUCGUCUGUUCACGCACGUACAAACAACACUAUUUUAUUCGUAAUCCUGGGAUAUUACCGUUGGAACGCAAGUGGACGGAUUCUACACACAGAAUGGAAUACGAGAUAUUCGUGAAUUAUUUUCGAGCGAUAAAUAAUAAUAACGUAUUACGGCGAGGGAAGAAAUUUCUUGGAGAAUCGUCCCUUUUCGGGAUCGAUUCUCGACUCUUAUUUCUCGCGAGCGGGUAUAAUCGUUGAGAAUCCGAGAUAUAAACGUUCACGAGUCAAGAGUCGGUGAACGCGUCGUCAGUACGGUAUCGAGGAUGUUUUUGUACCACGCCACUACUUGAACGAAGCAAGCGUCGAUGCCUUCGUUCCUCUCUCUCUCUCUCUUUCGUUCUCUCUCCUUCUCCCUUCUCUUUCGCCUCUUUCGUUCGAGCACGUUAAACACGCGUUCGUCGAGUACAGCCGCUUCCAUAGUGCACCUAUACACACCAUUAUUCGGGGAACCAAGUUUUUAUUCGUACGCGCAUUGUUCCGCCUCGUCCAAUUUUUCGUCACCGACUAUACUGUACUGUGACCGGUGUGUCGCGUCGUAGUUUCUCGCUCGUCCUUGUACAAAUGGUAUACAACGCGCUCUCUAAUCUCCACUCGUUCCGUCGAUGCGCGCGCACAUUUCUUUUUAACCAAUGUUUCGAUAUCGCGGUUUCACGCACGCCCCCCACUCCUCCACACUUUCGCGUCCCACAGCGCGUGAAAUGUAUACUUUCGCGCGGCGAUUCCCAAUCGUCCCGUCGUUUGAUUCCUUCCCCUUUAAUUUCCAAGUCGAAGCUUGCCAAUUUUUCUCCCGAUACACGUUUCCUUUCUCCAACGAUCCUCGAAAGAAUAUAGCGCUUGUUUCCGGGCGUGAAUUUCAAAUUUUCGUGGCCAAACUUCGAUUCUUUCUACUUUGCCCAUCUCGUACGGGAAGAAUAUCGAAUCGAGCUCGUUUUUUUUUUUUCAACGACGAAAAACUCGAGCCCCCCUUCGUUAACGGAAAUAUCGAAAAAUCUUACAAAUUCGGUGCGGUCUAUCCGCAAAAUUUCACAUUUUUCCAAUAUCGGCUCGUAUUAGGAAUGACCCACGCUAUCCGAAAGAUUCGAAUAUACGGAGAAUCACACAGGGAAUUGAGCCAGUUGUGGCGAAAGGGGACGACACAGACGGAACGAGUAGGAAUCGCAUCCUUGGAAACAGUGCCCCCGGAAUGGAAAUUUUCGCAGAGAUGGUCGGAUAACGAAAAACUUUCGACGCAACUAUCCAUAUCUGCGCGUGAAAAACCAAAAAGACGACGACUUUUGUUUUCGAAAGCUAGGAGAAAGAGAAGAGGCGUUUUCUUUUUUACUCGAAGACGGUCAGACGUUAACAACUUGGUCGGUGGUUAAUUCGAGGAGGAGGAGGUGAGAAGCUCUUCGAGCAUUAUGCGAGGACGCAAACACGCGACUCCCUCGUUCAACCUUGCUUGUUAAUUAGCGUUAGAGAGAAGGAAACGUUCGCUUAACCUCGUAGAAAAGAAAAAACUAUCGAAAGAAUCGAUCUUCCAAUCGAAAUACCCUUUUCGAUCGAACGCUAAUUACAAAGAAACAGGGUAAAAAAAUAGUCUACCAAAGAACUGAUAAUUCGGUAUAUUCGCUGACGAAUAUAUAUAUAUAUAUCGAUACAGUCACGAUAAGCGAUCGAAGCUGGACGAAAUUUUUCCACGAUUGCGGUUACGCCGGAUUUAUCGUUACAUCGGUCGAAAUGAAGUGAUUCGCGAAUUUUCGGGGGAAUUGAAAAAAAAAAAAAAGAACGUAAACUAUAGUUCGCGUGCGUAGGAACUGUAAUCGAGUUCUCUCUUGGCCGAGAGAGAAGGGUCUCGAGCCAACGAGUGCGGGUGACAAUCGACCUUUUGUACGGUUUAAAAAUUGCGUUCUCGAGUGUUUAUCUCGAUCGUACCCGGGAACCGAUAUCACAUCGAUCGAUUCUGAAAAUCUUGUUGAAAAAGGGGAAGAAAAAAAAAGAAAUUGUCGCGAAUAUAUUUCAUAUGUAAUUAAGGAUAUCCUUCGAGAUAUCCUUCACUGUUCUUGCUGUUCUUUAAACGGAAAGGAGUGGAAAACAACGCGAUGUACACAGAUUGGAGUGGAGGGGGUAGGCCGAGGUUCUCCGGCAGUUUGAUCCGGGAUUCUAGCGCGCGCCACGUUUCACGCGGGAGGGGAGGAGGAGGGGGGAUGGUUAGCUGAAAAACUACGGAAUUAACCGGACUGCGAAUUUGUGAAAAAUAUCGUUCGAGCUCGUGUUCCGCUCGCGUUAAACUCACGCGUGCUCUUUUCUAAAUCUAUGGGAUCACUAUGGGAAAUUGGACGAUGGAUAGAUAUAAUCGCGUUUCUAUUUAAUUUACGAUUUCCGCGAAUGCGUGUCCGGCGAAUAUCUGAAGGGGGGGAGGGGGAAAAAAAAUACAAGUGAAAAUAUCCGUGAAAAUGUACGCGUAUUUGUAUACAUAGAUAUUUCCAAAGAAUCUUUGUGUAACUUUUUACGAAGGAUGGAAAAUUCUGGAUCGAAUAUUUCGAUCCUUUAAUUAAUCUCUAACGUAAUUUUG